AACUUAUCAAGAGCGGUGGAGGGACUGGCCCUGUGAAACCCAGCAACCUACUUAGAGAAUGUAGAGUUAUGAAUUAAGAAUUAUGAAUUGGAUUUAAAAACUCUUUGAGUUUUGUCUUUAAUUCAUCAUUCAUCAUCCAUAAUUCAUCAUUAACUAAGUGUGGUGCUAAUUCCAACAGUUUACUGAAAGAUAAGGA
rfam:Clostridium sp. CAG:221 genomic scaffold, scf100